rnacentral:rRNA from 1 species
AGGCAUGCAAGUCGAACGGUAGAUAUCCUUCGGGAUGUUGAGAGUGGCGAACGGGUGAGUAACACGUAGAUGAUCUACCCUCAAAUGGGGGACAACCCAGGGAAACUUGGGCUAAUACCGCAUGAGUGCAGCGCAUAAAGCAUUCUUUAGGGUGGGUUGUUUUAUGCGUUGCAUAAAAGGUGGCCUUCGGGCUGUCGUUUGAGGAUGAGUCUGCGUCCUAUUAGUUAGUUGGUGAGGUAAUGGCUCACCAAGGCGAUGAUAGGUAGGCGGCCUUAACGGGUGGCCGCCCACACUGGGAUUGAGAUACGGCCCAGACUCCUACGGGAGGCAGCAGUCGAGAAUAGUCUACAAUGGACGAAAGUCUGAUAGUGCGACGCCGCGUGAACGAAGAAUCCCUUCGGGGUGUAAAGUUCUUUUAUUAAUGUGAGCAAUGCUUUUUAUGUGAAUAGCAUGAGAAGAGAGAUAUUAGCAUAUGAAUAAGCAACGGCUAACUCCGUGCCAGCAGCAGC